rnacentral:rRNA from 1 species
UAACCUGCCCAAGAGAUCGGGAUAACACCUGGAAACAGAUGCUAAUACCGGAUAAUAACAGAUGAUGCCUAUCAACUGUUUUAAAAGAUGGUUCUGCUAUCACUCUUGGAUGGACCUGCGGUGCAUUAGCUAGUUGGUAGGGUAACGGCCUACCAAGGCGAUGAUGCAUAGCCGAGUUGAGAGACUGAUCGGCCACAUUGGGACUGAGACACGGCCCAAACUCCUACGGAGGCAGCAGUA